CAUGCGAGAAGGGAGGGAGAGAUAGAGAGUGAAAGGAGCAGGAUUUGCCAAAGGAACCUAGAAGAAAAAGAGUUUCAUGUUUUUUCUUCUUCUUCUUCUUCUUUUUAUUGUUCCC
rnacentral:ribozyme from 1 species